UUGAGUUGGUUUACAUAAACAUUAUAAAACAUCUGAGAUCAUGUAUUAAAAGGGAUAACAACACUCUAUGGUCAAGCACACCUCUAACAUCCAUGAACAUCUUUACAUUACAUUUCUAUACUGUACUUAACAUAACAUCUCAACAUUACUCAUGUCCACACUAUCUAUUACAUAGCCAAGACUUCAUUACUCUUGCUGACUUUCUGGUCUACCCUGUACCUGCAAACCUGGGGUUAAGGGAGAGGGGUGAGCUACUAGAGCCCAGUGAGCAGAAUAAUAAAAUAUUUAUAUUAAAGGUUCAUACUUUCAUGGAAUGCAUCACAUCACAACUAAUCAUAUCAAGGAUGAACUUGUCACCACUUAGCCCUCUACAUAUUCUAAUCAUGCCAGGGGCGUAGUGCAGGCCACACCUGGUCUUCCUCUUAUACAUAACAUAUCAUACAUGACCAACUGUGCCGGGGGCAUAGUGCAAGCCACACCCGGUCUUUCUCUUACAUAGUGCCAGGGGCGUAGUGCAGGCCACACCUGGACUUCCAUAUCAUAUCAUCAUGUCAUAGCAUAUGAGGGCUAAUGGAUCAUUUAACAUUCAUCCACAUCAACAACAUAUUAUGCAAUGCAACAUAUUCGUGAAUUCUAAUGCAUACACCCUAAUAUAUAUCUCAUGGCAUUCAUGAUGCGUGAGUCAUGCUGAAAUCUCAUUUAAUUUCUUAAUUUAAAACAUUAAGUUUAGUUCCACUCACCUCUGGCUGAAGCUCUAUUGACUCUGAAGCAGCUAACUCACUGCUGAGGUCCUCGGUUUCUCGGGUCCGAACCUACACAGGUGGACUCACAUGAGCGACCAAACAUACAUGAAUAUGACUCUAAAAUACUCCCCAAAAAUCCCCUAAAAACACCUCAAAACAUCCAUGGAAAACAUGCAAAGGAAGGCUGAACAGGGCACUUUCGGCGGCAGGUUCGGCGGCCGAAAGUCCCUCCAGAGCCGAAAUUCAAGCAGCUUCGGCGGCCGAAACUCCCAGACAGAGACGAAACUCAUGCAUGUUCGGCGGCACUUUCGGCGGCCGAAACUGCCCUCCAGAGACGAAAGUCCUCUUUCGGGGGCUGGGUUCGGCAGCCGAAGGCUGCUUCCACAAGUGGGUUCGGCGGCCGAAAGUUCCUUCGGCGGCCGAACCUGAGUUUCUCCAAAGUGGCAGAAACUCAGAUCCAACAUGCACAAACGCCUCCCAAACCUUUUAACAUGCAAAAACCUAUUCUACAACACUCCCAAUCAUACAAAAACAAGCAUACAAACUCCUAGGGGCUUGAAACCAUUAAAAACCCCAACUACAACACAUCAAAUAACUCACAUUGCUCAUAAACAUACAUAAACCCAUAAACCUAACAAUAACCUAAACAUGCAUUUCUACCCCAUAGAUCUACUUAAAACUUACUUAAAACAUGCAAUAAGCUCAAGAUCGGCUCUUACCUCUUGAAGAUCGAGAGAAAGACGACCUAAACUUGGAAACCAAAGGAAAGGAGCUCCUGUGCCUUCCAAGCUUCAAAACGUGCUCAAAUGCUCAAAAUCUUCAAAACAAAGUGGAAACUCAUGAAAAUCUUGAAAGAUCUGAAGGAAGAACUCAAAAAUUGGUGAGGGACGGCGGAGAGCUCACCUUGGCCGAAAAUGGGGAGAAAAGCUCGCCCAUUUCGGCUAAGGGACCCCUUUAUAGGUGGCUGGCCAGGCCACAUUCGGGAGCCGAACGUGCUUCCGCAUGCAUGCCAUGUUCGGCGGCCGAACUUGAGGUUCGGUGGCCAAACUUGGACUUCCCUCACGUAUGCUUUCGGGGGCCUAAAGCACUCCUGAAGUGCAUGCAUGUUCGGCGGCCGAACUUGGAAUUCGGCGGCCGAACCUGGGUCUUCCUCCAAGGCUAUUUUCAUUCAAAACUUAACUUCCUUUUUACUUAAAAUCAUAAAAUACAUUAAAACAUUUUAUAAAAACAUGGUUUUACCCUUCUAGAGGUUUCCGACAUCCGAGAUUCCACCGGACGGUAGGAAUUCCGAUACCGAAGUCUAGCCGGGUAUUACAUUCUUCCCCCCUUAAGAACAUUCAUCCCCGAAUGUUCACCAAACAGACACAAGCAUGGCAUCCACAUAACAUACAUACAAAACACAUAAAACACACCUUAGAAGAGAUGAGGAUAUUGCUGGAGCAUGGACUCCCGUGUCUCCCAGGUACACUCUUCUUUAGCUCUUCAAAGCUCUCUGCACACUGGUGCUGAAGUCAACCUCUUCUUUAGCUCCUCAAAGCUCUCUUCACACUGGUCAGUCCACACAAACCUCUGGUUCUUCUUAGUCAGUCUGGUCAUGGGAGCUGCAAUCUUAGAGAAGUCCUGAACGAACCUCCUGUAGUAACCUGCCAAACCCAAGAAACUCUUGAUCUCUGUCACCGUAGUGGGUCUAGGCCAGUUAGCUACAGCUUCCACUUUCUUGAGGUCUACCUCGAUUCCAUUUUCUGACACCACAUGCCCCAAGAAAGAGAUGCUCCUCAGCCAGAACUCACACUUGGAGAACUUGGCAUACAAGCCAUGUUCCCUCAAGGUCUGCAGAACUAACCUCAGAUGAUGGGCAUGCUCCUCUGCAUUCCUGGAGUACACUAAGAUAUCAUCUAUGAAGACAAUAACAAAGUGAUCCAGGUACUGGCUAAACACUUUGUUCUUGAGAUCCAUGAAUGUUGCAGAGGCGUUGGUUAACCCGAACGGCAUAACAAGGAACUCAUAAUGCCCAUAUCUGGUCCUGAAGGCUGUCUUCGGCACAUCCUCUUCCCUUAUCCUUAGCUGAUGGUACCCCGAUCUCUGAUCUAUUUUGGAGAAACAACCUGCUCCGGCUAGUUGGUCAAAUAGAUCGUCGAUCCUUGGUAACGGGUACUUAUUCUUGGUAGUGAAUUUGUUCAACUGCCUGUAGUCGAUACAAAGUCUGAGAGAUCCAUCCUUCUUUUUCACAAAUAGCACUGGAGCACCCCAAGGUGAGGUACUCGGUCGGAUGAAACCCCUAUCUACCAGCUCUUGCAACUGUUCUUUUAACUCUUUCAACUUUGCUGGUGCCAUCCUGUAGGGAGGGAUAGAGAUCGGUCUAGUUCCAGGCAUCAACUCAAUUUCGAACUCUAUCUCCCUAGCAGGUGGUAAACCUGGCAGCUCGUCUAGGAACACAUCUAAGAACUCUCUGACUACUGGCACUAAGGCAGACUCUCUAACAUGACUAUCCAGCUCUCUCACAUGAGCCAGAAAACCCUGACAACCCCUCCUGAGAAGCCUACGAGCCUGUAGGGCUGAUAUCAAACCUCUAGGUGUACUCCCCCUGUCUCCUCUGAAGACAACCUCUGACCCAUCCUGACAUCUGAACCUGACUACCUUGUCUCUGCAGUCCAAGGUAUCAGCAUGGGUAGAUAGCCAAUCCAUCCCUAGAAUGACGUCAAAAUCUGUCAAAUCUAGAACCACAAGAUCGGCGAACAGGCAUCUUCCCUCCACGAAAACUGGACUAUACUGGCAGACUGACUCUGCCACUGACGGGUCACACUUGGGUCCACUGACCCAUAGGGGACACUCUAACCCAGAGACCAUCAAUCCCAACCUCUCGACGACCCUCGGAGCAAUGAAAGAAUGAGAUGCACCAGGGUCCAUUAAUGCAUACACAUCAGAACAACUAAUGAUGAGAUUACCUGACACCACGGUGUUGAAUGUGUUUGCCUCCUGCUGAGUCAUGGUGAAGAUCCGUGCUGGGGUUGAUGGACCUUCACCUCUGAAACCCGCUGAAGAAGAGGCUGCCCCUCUCCCUCGGCCUCUGCCACUAGCCUGAGUCGCGGCUGGAGCUACUGGCUGAGCCACACUACUAGAAGCUGUUUGCUGAGACUGUGCCACCGAAGCUACUCUAGGACACUCCCGAGCCAUGUGUCCCUCCUGCCCACAUCUGAAGCAGGCUGUCGUCCCAACCAGACAUACUCCCUUGUGCGGUCUCCCACAUUUCCUGCAUACUGCAUUAUCUGCACCUAAGCUCGAGCCACCUCCUAAUCCCACACCUGACUUGAUCUUGCUCCAGAACUUGUUCUUCUUGGACUUUCGGGAGCCUCUGUCCCACUUCUUACUGCCUGAACUCAGAGAAGAAGGGUCUAACCUACCCCCUCCUGGGGUCUUGGAACCAGAAGGCUGUGCCACUGACUGCUUGACUUUCCCUUCGAUGAUAGCACUAGCCUCCAUCCUCCGAGCCAUAUCCACUAUGCCAUGGAAACUCUCCCUCUCUGCUGACUGAAUUAAGGAGGAAUACCUGGAAUGGAGCCUCAUGAUAUACCUCCUUGACUUCCUCUGAUCUGUGUCUAGAUUCUGCCCAGCAAACGGUAACAGCUCCAAGAAUCUGUCUGUGUACUCAUCCACACUCAUGUCAUCCGUCUGCCUCAACUGCUCAAAUUCAAUCAUUUUCAGCUCCCUGGAACUGUCAGGGAAAGCCCAUCCUGCAAACUCAUUGGCAAACUCCUCCCAGGAUAGACUAUCCAACCUCGGGUUCACAUAGUUCUUAAACCACUCUCGGGCCUUCUUGCAUUUUAAUGUGAACCCAGCCAUAUGAAUGGCUCUACUGUCGUCAGCUCCUAUCUCAUCUGUAAUUGUCUUGACCCUCUCAAGGUACACAAACGAGUCAUCACCAGUUUCAAACUGGGGAGCACCCAGCUUCAUGUAGUCCUUCAUUUUGACCUUGCUCCCCCCAGAUGAGCUAGGCUUAGGCAUUUGGGUUUCUGGGACAGUAGGUGCUGCUGGUGGUGGAGGAGGUGCAGCAUCCCCUGGAGUAGGGUUUGCUGUACCUGGAUAGAAAGAUGGGGGUGGGUACAUUGGGUACUGUGGGUACGGUGGGUAGAAAGGUGGGUACGGCAUCUGAGAGUGAUAAGGGGUAAAACUGGGGUAAUCCGAUGCACCUCCCAUCGAAUACCCGGGAUUAUGAGAAAAGAGUGGGUAGUAAGGUGGCUGAACAAAUCCCGAGGCCUGAGUGCCUCCUUGGGACUCUCCCAUUCCCUCUUCUGACAUACUUACUCCGAGACUGCCAUCCCUCCUCUGAUCCACAUCCAUCUGAUCCCCCACAUCCUCUGACAUAUCCCCUUGCACUGUUCCCUUCACUGAUCUGCUUCUACCCAGAUCCAAAGACCUUCUAGGGUCUCUUACUGCUCUUUCUCUGCUAGACCUGCUUGACAUUGCCCUAGGCAAUGCAGGAGGACGGGCAUCAGUGCCCUCGUCCUGGGGUGGUACUCCAGUCAAUCGCGCAGAUCGACGAGUUUCUCUCAUCCUGUUUUCUGAAAAACAGUACACAUCACAUAAACAUUAGCACCAAAUGGUUCAUGUGCAAACACAUGAACCCGCAUCACAUACAUCACAUAAUAAUCAUAACAUUAAUGCACAUGCAUAUUAUCAUGGCAUUUCACAUAAUUAUACAAGACAGGACUCCACAUCCUAUCCUAGUGGACAUGAUCUUCCUAUUGUGUUUGACCUUCUAUAACCUCUAUGAGCCCAACACUCUAGGUCCGACCAUAUGAACCUAGGACUCUGAUACCAAUCUGUAACGAUCUGGAAAACGGACCGCUACCGGCGCUAGGAUCCAGAUCGGCUUAAGGCCGCCGCGACCCCAAUGGGUGACAUAACAUGUGUUGAGUUGGUUUACAUAAACAUCAUAAAACAUCUGAUAUCAUGUAUUAAAAGGGAUAACAACACUCUAUGGUCAAGCACACCUCUAACAUCCAUGAACAUCUUUACAUUACAUUUCUAUACUGUACUUAACAUAACAUCUCAACAUUACUCAUGUCCACACUAUCUAUUACAUAGCCAAGACUUCAUUACUCUUGCUGACUUCCUGGUCUACCCUGUACCUGCAAACCUGGGGUUAAAGGAGAGGGGUGAGCUACUAGAGCCCAGUGAGCAGAAUAAUAAAACAUUUAUAUUAAAGGUUCAUGCUUUCAUGGAAUGCAUCACAUCACAACUAAUCAUAUCAAGGAUGAACUUGUCACCACUUAGCCCUCUACAUAUUCCAAUCAUGCCAGGGGCGUAGUGCAGGCCACACCUGGUCUUCCUCUUAUACACAUAAUAUAUCAUACAUGACCAACUGUGCCGGGGGCGUAGUGCAGGCCACACUCGGUCUUUCUCUUACAUAGUGCCAGGGGCGUAGUGCAGGCCACACCUGGACUUUCAUAUCAUAUCAACAUGUCAUAGCAUAUGAGGGCUAAUGGAUCAUUCAACAUUCAUCCACAUCAACAACAUAUUAUGCAAUGCAACAUAUUCGUGAAUUCUAAUGCAUAUACCCUAAUAUAUAUCUCAUGGCAUUCAUGAUGCGUGAGUCAUGCUGAAAUCUCAUUUAAUUUCUUAAUUUAAAACAUUAAGUUUAGUUCCACUCACCUCUGGCUGAAGCUCUAUUGACUCUGAAGCAGCUAACUCACUGCUGAGGUCCUCGGUUCCUCGGG
rnacentral:lncRNA from 1 species